rnacentral:misc_RNA from 1 species
UGUGAGUAUGCUCAUGGGGUUUUUGAGUGUUGGUUGCACCCAGCUCAAUACCGAACUCGACUUUGCAAAGAUGGCACUAGUUGCAAUAGGCGGGUCUGCUUUUUUGCCCAUGCACCGGAAGAGCUCAGGCCCUUGUAUGUCUCCACAGGAUCUGCUGUCCCUUCACCUCGAUCAUCUGCAUCUGCAGCUAGUGUCAUGGAC